CCUACGGGUGGCAGCAGUGAGGAAUAUUGGUCAAUGGGCGGGAGCCUGAACCAGCCAAGUCGCGUGAGGGAAGACGGUCCUAUGGAUUGUAAACCUCUUUAUGCGGGGAGCAAUGCCGGGCACGCGUGCCCGGAGGGAGAGUACCCGCAGAAUAAGCAUCGGCUAACUCCGUGCCAACAGCCGCGGUAAUACGGAGGAUGCGAGCGUUAUCCGGAUUUAUUGGGUUUAAAGGGUGCGUAGGCGGAUUUUUAAGUCAGCGGUAAAAUGUCGGUGCUCAACACCGGCCUGCCGUUGAAACUGGUCUUCUUGAGUGAGCGAGAAGUAUGCGGAAUGCGUGGUGUAGCGGUGAAAUGCAUAGAUAUCACGCAGAACUCCGAUUGCGAAGGCAGCAUACCGGCGCUCAACUGACGCUGAGGCACGAAAGCGUGGGGAUCGAACAGGAUUAGAUACCCUUGUAGUC
rnacentral:rRNA from 1 species